rnacentral:rRNA from 1 species
UACGGAGGGUGCGAGCGUUGUCCGGAAUCACUGGGCGUAAAGGGCGCGUAGGUGGCCCGUUAAGUGGUCGGUGAAAUCCCGGGGCUCAACUCCGGGGCUGCCGAUCAGACUGGCGAGCUAGAGCACGGUAGGGGCAGAUGGAAUUCCCGGUGUAGCGGUGGAGUGCGUAGAUAUCGGGAAGAAUACCAGUGGCGAAGGCGUUCUGCUGGGCCGUUGCUGACACUGAGGCGCGACAGCGUGGGGAGCAAACAGG